GGUACGCAAUCCUUCACUUGGAUAUAAGCGCCACAGAGUUGCCUCUUCUUAGUAGGUCUUUUUCAUUCUGUGUAGGUCGGACAGAGAGCUCUUACCCUUCCAGCACGAGGAAAUUGCCCCAUUUCUAACAACUGGUCAGAGAAACGGACGUUUUCCUCAGAAGAAACAGUAUCUUCAAAAAGGACCGUGUAAAGAUCUGAGAGACCAAGAUAUUUCCUUUCCAUGGCUACUCGCUAGCAGUAGAGGCCAAAUUCCACUCCUGUAAACAGCUCUGGGAUGCUGUGGCGCUCCCUGAAUUUGCACAGAGGAAAACACACGGAAGCCUGGAAAAGAGUAUUAACACACAGAUUAAAUGGACUCCAACCUGCUUUCUCUCCUCUGCCUUUGCACCGCAGAGCUGGCAAGAGCAGAAGCAGUAAAUACUUAUGUUUUGUCACUUGAGUCAGCACAUAUAAUUCUUCAUACACGUAGGAACUAGCUCUGCUGCAGAAGAAAAUACCAUUUUCACAAUAACUUUUCACAGUGGAACUGUGCCUUAAAUCAAACAAGCAAGUACUGAGUCAGCUCAGUGGCAGAGCAACAACAAUUUGAUCUGCUACGUGGCAAGCUUUGGUUUGGAGAUACAAAACAAUUCUUCAUCCCGGGCCCCGGGCUUGUAAGUAUGAUAGAAGAUGAUGCAACGCGUUCAGACUCUGGGGAGAAAAGGAACAGUCAUACCACUCUUGAGAAACCCUUUGUGCAGAAAAAUUUAUUGUGUGCCCCCAGGUACAAAGGCUAUGGAUGAAAUGCAACUCAAUAAAGACAAGCCAAGGUGUUUCAAGAGAACUAAUGAACAUUUCGGUAUUUGCACUUAGUCAGAUAAAGCGGUGUUUUCCAGUUCAGCAAGGAGACAGCAAUCAUAAAACAGAAGAGAAAUUCAACAGCAGAAAAUUGAACUAUUGCAUGCAUCUCUACUUUUGAAAAGAUAAUAGAGAAAUUGGGGCUAAAUUUGACGGUGGCUAAUAAAUUAGGUCAACUAUGUACCAUAUUUGUGAAAUGCAGAAUUAAAAACACACAGGCCCUGAUGCACUUCAGCUGUUCUCCCACAUACGAACUGAGCAUUUCCCAUACAGAAUGCACACAGCAGGCCUGUGUUUUACAUAAGUAGGAACAAUUAUAAGUACAGACGUGAAAAUAAUCUCCACCUAAUGAUAAAUGGAAAUAACAGGCUAUUUCCAAUAUGCAUAUUAAUGAGGAGUUGAUUCUUCACUAAAAUAUACAGCCUAACUCACAGGCAAAUUCUGCUAGUGUUCUGCUUCGCUUCUGGAUUAACUGCAAAUCCUAAUAAUUUGCUUUUAAUUGGGAGCUUAGCUCCUAUAUUAAAUUAUCAUAGGAAAGCAAAUGUGCCCAAAAGAUGUAUUAUUAAAAUAAAAAUAACACAAUAUCCUGGUUUUAAAAAACCUUACUUGGUGUGGAACCAACAAGAAGAAAGCAUCUGAAAAAGAAAUCUUAAUGAAGAGGAAAAAAAAAAACUAAAUGGGACAUUAAAUUACCUUCAUUCAAACAACACUAUUACUGUAGCUUUCAGCUGUGAUGCUUCUACGUAACGUGGCUUCCUCUGACUGUGGGCUCUGCAUAUUCUGCGUGUAUUUUUUUUUUCUCUAUACUUUAUUAUAAAUGUGCAUGUCUCACUGUCUUGUUGUUUAUAAUAAACAC